ACACACACACACACACACACACACGGAUAAUAUUCUGCAGUUUUCUGGUUAUUAAGUUAAAUUGGGGUGUCAAGGCAGAGGCUGUCACACAUUUUGCUUACGAGGUUAAGGUCUUAGUUCAGGAAAUUUCAAUAGUGUUUCCAUCUCAUUCCCCUUUUUGUUGCCUCAGUUUACGAAAUAUCAAUAGGUUUUUGCAUCGUUUUAUACCAGUUAUUGCCUCGGUUCAUGAAAUAUCAGUUGCUUUUUCUUCUUUUUACAGGAUUUGGUGCCUCAGUUGACGAAAUAUCAAUAGGUUUUUCAUCUCAUAUCAUUCUCUGUUGUCUCAGUUAACGAAAUAUCAAUAGGUUUUUCAUCUCAUAUCAUUCUCUGUUGUCUUAGUUAACGAAAUAUCAAUAGGUUUUUCAUCUCAUAUCAUUCUCUGUUGUCUCAGUUAACGAAAUAUCAAUAGGUUUUUCAUCUCAUAUCAUUCUCUGUUGUCUUAGUUAACGAAAUAUCAAUAGCUUUUUCAUCUUAUAUCAUUCUCUGUUGUCUUAGUUAACGAAAUAUCAAUAGCUUUUUCAUCUCAUAUCUUUCUCUGUUGUCUUAGUUAACGAAAUAUCAAUAGCUUUUUCAUCUCAUAUCUUUCUCUGUUGUCUUAGUUAACGAAAUAUCAAUAGGUUUUUCAUCUCAUACCAUUCUCUGUUGUCUCAGUUAACGAAAUAUCAAUAGGUUUUUCAUCUCAUACCAUUCUCUGUUGUCUUAGUUAACGAAAUAUCAAUAGGUUUUUCAUCUCAUAUCACUCUUGUCUCAGUUAACGAAAUAUCAAUAGCUUUUUUUUUUUCUCUCAUUCCACGCUUAGUUUCCUCAGUUUCAUAAGCUUCAAUAACGUUAGCCUCUUUUUUCCCUCUUCGUUUGCCUCAGUUUAACAAAAUCUCAAUAGCUUUUUAAUUUCGUUCCCCCUCCAAGCCUCACUUCAUCAGGUAUCCCCAAGAACAAGCUAUUGGUGUCUCCCUUAUCGGUAUAUAUCUCAGGUAUUCGAUGGGACAAUAGCUAUGUAGAUCUCGUGUUGAUAAGAAGACGAAUAAGGGGAGGCUUGUGAUAUAUGUGUCCCAUGACGAAAGUAAUGUAGAUAAGAGGGCAUUGACGUAUAAGGAGUUGGUUUAUCCCUGGGAACAGAUUAGGAAAGGCUUAUUUUGAUAGGCUUAUCUUGGUGCUGGUGAAUGAAGGAGUCGAUUGUAAAAGAUGUUCAUGAUUGAGAAGAACAGAUACGAGAUAGAAAAAACCCUAAUAUGAAAGUGAAAGAGAGAAAAUAUGUAGAGAGAUUAAUUUACACAAGAGUAGAAGAAAUAAGUAUUGUAAAGAGAUUGAUGAUUAGAGGAACAGAUAAGAGAAAAACGGAAAGAAAAAACGAUUCCCAACAUGAAAGAGAAUAAUAAAAAGAAAGUAGAGAACAUGAAUUUACACACAAAAGUAGAAGAUGUAAGGAAAAGAAGAAAGAGAAAGGCAGAAACACAGAGAGAAGAAAGUAGAAAAGAAGGGAAAAUAAAGAAAAAAAAACAAC